ACCUUUUGAUGUGAUGAUGAUAAGUAGGUAUAUGAUUGUUGACUAGAUUUGAAUGCAAUGGAUUUGUAGCUUAUUGUUGACUAUAGUCUUACACACUGUCAGCUUAUUGUAAUGAUACAUGAGUAUAGACAAAAUUUGUUGGGAAAAAAAAUAGAAAAGAAAAGUUUUACAGGUUGCUGGAUAUAGCUUAACUGUAAAGGAACUUAAGGGACGUUGUAAAACAACAAAGUGAUUAAUGUAAAAUGAUGGAGCUUAUAUCUAAAGUUCAAAAUCCAUUUAUAGUGGAGCAUAAAGAUUCAUGGGUAGAAAGGGUCAAUCUUUUCUUGACAAUCAGAACUUUCAUUAUAUAUGUUUGGUAGAUUUACUAACAGAGUUAUUCAUAUUCUUCCUUGCAGGGUUAUUUUGUAUCUAUUGUCUUAAGUUACUAUGAAGGGGGGAUAUGGUUGAGGCUAUAAAAAAGACAAAUGGUGUUCAUUUUCCUAAAGAGGAUGCCUGUUCGAAAAUUACAAGGAGAUUGCAGCUUUUCAAAUUGAGAAGGAUUCUUCAGUAAUAA